GUUGCCGAAGAUCAGUCGGCCCCGACGGCUGAAGUCGGAGCAGAACCGCCGACCAACUCGCAUCGUCGUCCAGUCGAGGACGUUGACUCCGACGAUUAGUCGGUUUUGUUUUGUCUUAUGUUAUGCUUUGACUUGUAAUCGGGCUUCGGCCUUUUCUUUGUAGACUUUCUUUUAUCUAUGGAUAAAAUUUCUUUAAGUCUUGAACGAAAUCUCCCUUUACUUUCUC
rnacentral:lncRNA from 1 species